GCCUUCGUGGUGUAGUGGUCUGCAUGUUCGACGCGUAACCGAGAGGAACCGCGGUUCGAUUCCCGGUGAAGGCG
rnacentral:tRNA from 1 species